rnacentral:rRNA from 1 species
UACGGAGGGGGCUAGCGUUGUUCGGAAUUACUGGGCGUAAAGCGCACGUAGGCGGCUUUGCAAGUUAGAGGUGAAAGCCCGGGGCUCAACCCCGGAAUUGCCUUUAAAACUGCAUCGCUAGAAUUGUGGAGAGGUAAGUGGAAUUCCGAGUGUAGAGGUGAAAUUCGUAGAUAUUCGGAAGAACACCAGUGGCGGAGGCGACUUACUGGACACAUAUUGACGCUGAGGUGCGAAAGCGUGGGGAGCAAACAGG